UAAACAAUAGCUUAUAUUAAAGCAUAGUGCUGAAGACGCUAAAAAGUUUUUAACUUGUUUAA
rnacentral:tRNA from 1 species